ACACUCCUGCGGGAGGCAGCAGUGGGGAAUAUUGGACAAUGGGCGCAAGCCUGAUCCAGCCAUGCCGCGUGAGUGAUGAAGGCCCUAGGGUUGUAAAGCUCUUUUGUGCGGGAAGAUAAUGACGGUACCGCAAGAAUAAGCCCCGGCUAACUUCGUGCCAGCAGCCGCGGUAAUACGAAGGGGGCUAGCGUUGCUCGGAAUCACUGGGCGUAAAGGGUGCGUAGGCGGGUCUUUAAGUCAGGGGUGAAAUCCUGGAGCUCAACUCCAGAACUGCCUUUGAUACUGAAGAUCUUGAGUUCGGGAGAGGUGAGUGGAACUGCGAGUGUAGAGGUGAAAUUCGUAGAUAUUCGCAAGAACACCAGUGGCGAAGGCGGCUCACUGGCCCGAUACUGACGCUGAGGCACGAAAGCGUGGGGAGCAAACAGGAUUAGAUACCCUAGUAGUCCCAUG
rnacentral:rRNA from 1 species